GUUGGGGGACUAAUUAUGUUUUUACUAAUAGUAUAAUAUGAUACCCAAACCCUAACCCUUAUUUGUUGUCAGCCGUCACCUGCAUAAGCCACUCCCCAACUUUGUUGCAACUAGAAUCAUCAGACACACUCCUUCAUCCAUCUCCUCCACCUCUCAUUCUCUCAAAAACUCUAUGUAACAAAUAAACCUUCUCACCUUCAACCUCUCAAACCCACACAUCUUGACACAACCGCCUCCCUCGUUCUCUUUCCUUCUCACGAAACGAAACGCAAAAGCCAUUCGCCGUAGUCGGAAUCUCACCAGGGUUUGAAGCAUCACCGGAAAGGUCAGAACUCGCCGGAAUCACGCCCGGAGUUCAUCGAGUCGGACACGGCUCUUCUCGUUUUGCAUAAAAAAAAGACAACCGGAACCGUGACAAAGCCAGGAUACGUUUCGCCACCCUCUCACCGUUGUUUCACUCGCGAGAACGAUAACAAACUCGUCGGAGAAAGCUAGUCGUCACCGGAGUUCACCGGAGCCGUCCGAAUCACGUCGGAGACUCGGAGAAGGCGACCGGAAAGCCCGCGGCCCUUAUAUCGUUUCGGUUAAUCGCUAUCGUUCGUUCUCUUGGUUUCCUAACCUUACUCGUGCGUUACUUACAAGAAAGCGCAACGCAACCAAUGUUGAUAGUCGCAGUGAAUCAAGAAUCAAGCUAGGGUGGACUUAGAAACACACCUAGUUAAAUAAACAAUGUUGAAACUUGAAUUGAUUGUAUUUGUGUUUUGGAUCAAUGUUUGACAAUUUAGCAUUUAUAAAAUUUGAUUUAAUCUA